rnacentral:lncRNA from 1 species
CUGGGCCCAUGCUCCUUGAUGGGGGUGGGCAAGGGCUGGGACCCAAGAGGAAACCUCGUUUCCAGGAAUGGGCGCUCGCAGGGCGGUGUGAGUGCUGUUCGUCCUGAAAGCCUCUGAGAGACUGGCCUGACCCCAUGGACUCCCUCACACUCUCACCCGUUCAUUCCUCACUCACCACUCUGAGCCUGGGUUUCCUCCUCUGGAGAAUGUUGGGAUAAUAAUAAUUCCUGCCACACGCUGGCUGUGAGGAGUCCGCGAGAACUCCCUUGCUUGUCCAUGAAUUUAUCCACUCGCUUGCUCACCCAUGACUCACAUCGAUUUUCAUACCCAUUUCUGCAUCCCUCCCUCCCUCUCUUUUUUUUCUUCCUUCCAUUCCAUAUUCCCUGAGGUCUUCUGUUGAGUGCUGGGGCCCCAGAAUAUCCAAACACAGACCUGACCCCCCAAGCGACUUACUGCCAUCAAAACAAAGGAGAGGCGCGGAGCCAGGGAAUACAAUCUCCAGAGCCUGCGAGAGAGAGAUGGGGUCUUGCUAUGUUGCACAGGCUGGUUUCAAACUCCUGCAAUCCUCCUGUGUGAGUAGCUGGGACUGUAGACAUGAGCCGCCGCAUCUG